rnacentral:misc_RNA from 1 species
UCGAAAUUUUACAAUGGUAAAUCGAAGUCCUUCACGAGUCUGGCAGAGGUAUCCUCGUCCUCCUCCAUUAAAGAUAUUGCAAAACCAGAGAAUGCAUACUCAAAGAGACGCAAAAGUUUACUUGCCCUCAGUCACGUGUGGGACAAGAAUAGAUGUUUCCCUCAUCGAAGUAAUGGGGGUGGGAUAUCCAAGAGACCAAUUAGCUUAAGCCGAAGCACAUUGGCUCUAGCAGUUGCCAUGAGCAGCUCUGAGAGUAUCAGUAGCACAAGUGAGGAUUCCACUUCUAGC